AGAUUUGUUAAUAAUUCAUAUUACAACAUUGAUCAUUUCAGCGUUUGCAGAUUUUUCGUGUAGUUGUUCCAUGGGAGGAAGAGAGAGGCAUUGUUCAAAAUACACCACAGGUUCUAUGUUUUAUAACAAGAUUUGCCAAAAACGAAUUUAUUUCUUCAGAUGCUAUGUCUAAACUUAGACAGACAACCAAAUUGCUUCAAAGAGGAAUGUUUUUUCAUAAAUAGUGCUCGUUCAUUUUUAACAGUGCAUUGAUAUCAAACAUUCAUUCAAAUUUUUACGUGACAAAGAAACAGAUGUAGCAACAGAGACAGCGACGAACAAGGCAACUUCAGACUCUCGUGGCUAACAUAAUAAAAAAUCAGAUGUAGCAACAGAGACAGAGAUGGAGACGAAAACCGCAACUCGCGUGGUCAACAUGAUAAAGAAACAGAUCCAGCUAAAGAAAAAAAACAUGGAAUAUUCUCCACAUGAUGACGUUUGGAAAACGUAUCAAAACGAGGGAUUUCCUGAAAAUUCCUUACUUGUAAAUGAGACGGACAGUUGUUCCAUGUUAGAUGAAAUGACCUUAUAGAUAAAAAAAUACAAAAUUUACUCAAUGAACGCAGACAGCAAGAUAAUAAAAGAUCAAAAUCUGAAGAUGAGUUUACAACAUCUGAUGAAAUGCCACUGAGACUCCUAAUCGAUAUCAUUGAUGCCAGCCCUAUUGAGUGUUGAGAAUUGAGUACCGCUCAAGCCGGUGCUAGUGACGUGAGGGAUGUUGCAUUUAUUCAUUAUCCCUCAUGUACAGACUCAAUCAAACCGAGUCUGCAAUUUUCACGUAAUUUUGUUGUGAUUAUGCGUCAGAGGGACCACUUUGUUUCCAGAUUUUUAUACUUCACAACAGCAGGUGUCAAGUGCUGUGUGGCAGCUGUACUUCACUUCAGUGUUGUUAUAUUUUUCUGGUCCUUCGGUAUCAUUGAUGUCAUCACUAUUGAGUGUUGAGAAUUGAGUACCGCUCAAGCAAGUGCUAGUGAGUUUACCACAUCUGAUGAAAUGCCAUUGAAACUUCUAAUCGGGAUCAUUGAAAAACAUAGUGAUCAUAAAAAACAAAAUGAUCCCUCGGAAUCAUUAAUCAGAACAUAAAUACAUGAAAAUUGCAGACUCGGUUUGAUUGAGUCUGUACAUGAGGGAUAAUGAGUAAAUGCAACAUCCCUCACGCCCCUAGAGCGGUUUUUAACCGAAAUACAUACUACAACCCAACCGCUAAUAUUCUUUCAGACACCAUCACAAGUAGGAAGAAAAACGAGGAGGGAAAAUGGGAAAGGUUGGAAUUGCCAUGUCCGAAAGUAAUCGUAAAUUUCAGGUGUUGACAGACAUAACCAUUUGAGAUGUAGUUACUCUUUGCAAAGAUGCAGUGCAUGCUUGUGGACCUAUUUUGUCUAGUUCGGGAUAGACAUGUCAUUUAUCAACAGCUACCUACUCUACAAGACACCCAGAGAUUACUCACAAGAUGCUUCAACUGAAGAUAAUAUUUGCACAGCUGUGUAAAGAUUCGGUUUAACAGUCAAAUAUAUUUUUCAUGCUGUGUUUGUGACAUCAAUCAAUUUGCUUUUACAAUAUAGCACACAAAUAUUGAAAUGUACCUUUGGUUGAAAGGAGAACUAAUUGCAAUGUAACAUACAUUGAUACCAACUUUAAAUUGUACGGCUUGAGGACUUUAAAAAUUGAUGAGUCUGAUUAAAAUAUAGCAUGACAGUGAUAAAUGACUGGUUUCGUUUCUAGACAAACAUUCAUUUUGAAAAUAUAGUUUUAUAUAAAUACUUUUCAAACCAAGUUGUUUAAGGAAAAAAUUAAAAGAUCUAUGCUUACGUUAUGUGCUUAACAUGUUUAAAUAGUUUGCUGAACAGCUGAUUGGUGGAUUUUCUGAUCGCGUACGUCAGGCAAGUCAAUUGGACCCAGUAUCCCUGUCGUUUACUUCAAUCUUAAAUCACCAGUCAGGUUGCCUAAAAUGUGUCGAUAUUGCAGCAAGAUGAAAGUUCAGACAGAAAGAGGUCGAACAAGUUAAACAGUGUUUGGAUGUUCACAAUGCAAUGUCAACUUGCACAAGAAAUUACAACCCAAAUUUAUAAAUCCAUACUGUGUUUGAAGUACUGUAAAACAUUUUGUUUUAUGUUGUUUCAAAACAUAAUGUGUAUAUAUAUAAGUGAUUAGUAUUCAAGAAAGAAGUUUGUAAAUGGCAAUAUUGAACAGGUCUUUAUGCAAUCGAUCUGCUGUUAUCUAAAUUAUAACAUUAUGUAGGAUGCGUGACUUAUGCUAUGUAUGUAUAAUAUGUAUAUAUAUAUAUAUAAUAUAUAUACAAUAUAGAUACAUACAUAUAUAUAUAUAUAUUGCAUUUAUUGGUGUGUGUGUGUAUAUAUAUAUAUGUAUGUAUGUAUGUAUAUUGUAUAUACAGUCCGACCCCGGUUAUUCGACAACCCUUUAUUCGAAUACCCGGCAUUAUCCGAAGUAGAUCGGCGGUCCCGUUUUUAUUUCUAUAUAAAACAAUAUAAAUACGAGCGUAUUAUUCGAAAUGCAUUAUCCGAAUACCUCCUAUUUUUCGAAGUAAAAUUUCGGUCCCGAUUAUACAAUUAUGAAAGAAUUUCACACCUAUUAUUCGAAGCCAGCCUAAUUAUUAUUCGAAGCCAGACUAAUUGGCGCAGAUCCACUUGCUGACCAGUCAACUUGUGAAAAAUAUCCACAGUCAUGCGUGUAAUUAGACAAUCAUGAUAAUAACUCUUUGUGUGUUCUUUAAUCAACUUUAAUUACCGAAAUGAAUAGCUAUGCACCGUGUCCGAUUUUGUUGAAGAUGACAGCAAUAAUUUUUAUACAAUCCGUAUAUGUGAAUUUGUCAAAACAUGCAAAACAUUUUUUUCAUUAAUUGCAACGCUACAUGAGAGCCUUAAUUUAUCCUAAUCGAAAACACCAGAGUUUAGCUGUAAAUACCGUAGUGACGACACGGCCAUUAUCAAGGCUUUGCACGAAACGAAACGAUCGAUACAUAAUGUAAAAUAAAAUGCAAGUAUUUAUGUCUUCAAUGUCAAUACAAUAAUUUUUAUCCAUCUUUUCUUAAAUAUUUAUUUUUCUCAAUUGAUUAGAGGAAGCAAGUGUGUUGUAAACGGUAGUUUUGCGAUGAUUGGUCAAAGUGGAGAAGUUUUCGUCUAUCACAAUAUUUCGAUUUCGAUUAUUCGAACCAAUCGAUUAUUCGAAGUAAAUAUUCAGUCCCAGGCAUGCACUUCGAAUAAACCGGGUUGGACUGUAUAUAAUAUAUAUAUAAAUUACAUAUAUAUAUAUAUAUAUAUAUAUAUAUAUAUAUAUACAUAUAUAUAUAAAAAAAAAAAAAGUCGAGCUAAUGAAUGACCCCCGGGGCGGGGCCAAUUUUGACCCCAGGGCUCUUAUUUGAACGAACUUAAUGGUAGACAUCCAUUAGAACAUGUUUCAUGCUAAAUAUCUUAGCUCUAGCUCUUUGCAUU